AGGGGGCCAUCCCGGCUUACCAACCCGAUGCAAACUGCGAAUACCGGAGAAUGUUAUCACGGGAGACACACGGCGGGUGCUAACGUCCGUCGUGAAGAGGGAAACAACCCAGACCGCCAGCUAAGGUCCCAAAGUCAUGGUUAAGUGGGAAACGAUGUGGGAAGGCCCAGACAGCCAGGAUGUUGGCUUAGAAGCAGCCAUCAUUUAAAGAAAGCGUAAUAGCUCACUGGUCGAGUCGGCCUGCGCGGAAGAUGUAACGGGGCUAAACCAUGCACCGAAGCUGCGGCAGCGACGCUCAGGCGUUGUUGGGUAGGGGAGCGUUCUGUAAGCCUGUGAAGGUGGCCUGUGAGGGUUGCUGGAGGUAUCAGAAGUGCGAAUGCUGACAUAAGUAACGAUAAAGCGGGUGAAAAGCCCGCUCGCCGGAAGACCAAGGGUUCCUGUCCAACGUUAAUCGGGGCAGGGUGAGUCGACCCCUAAGGCGAGGCCGAAAGGCGUAGUCGAUGGGAAACGGGUUAAUAUUCCCGUACUUGGUGUUACUGCGAAGGGGGGACGGAGAAGGCUAUGUUGGCCGGGCGACGGUUGUCCCGGUUUAAGCGUGUAGGUGUGUGUUCCAGGUAAAUCCGGUUCACUUUAACACUGAGGCGUGACGACGAGGCACUACGGUGCUGAAGCAACAAAUGCCCUGCUUCCAGGAAAAGCCUCUAAGCAUCAGGUAACAUCAAAUCGUACCCCAAACCGACACAGGUGGUCAGGUAGAGAAUACCAAGGCGCUUGAGAGAACUCGGGUGAAGGAACUAGGCAAAAUGGUGCCGUAACUUCGGGAGAAGGCACGCUGACACGUAGGUGAAGUGAUUUACUCAUGGAGCUGAAGUCAGUCGAAGAUACCAGCUGGCUGCAACUGUUUAUUAAAAACACAGCACUGUGCAAACACGAAAGUGGACGUAUACGGUGUGACGCCUGCCCGGUGCCGGAAGGUUAAUUGAUGGGGUCAGCGCAAGCGAAGCUCCUGAUCGAAGCCCCGGUAAACGGCGGCCGUAACUAUAACGGUCCUAAGGUAGCGAAAUUCCUUGUCGGGUAAGUUCCGACCUGCACGAAUGGCGUAAUGAUGGCCAGGCUGUCUCCACCCGAGACUCAGUGAAAUUGAACUCGCUGUGAAGAUGCAGUGUACCCGCGGCAAGACGGAAAGACCCCGUGAACCUUUACUAUAGCUUGACACUGAACAUUGAGCCUUGAUGUGUAGGAUAGGUGGGAGGCUUUGAAGCGUGGACGCCAGUCUGCGUGGAGCCGACCUUGAAAUACCACCCUUUAAUGUUU
rnacentral:rRNA from 1 species